CAGUGGCGCGUCACGUCUGCCCUCAGUCCCACGAAGAAGAAUAACUUCCGGCAGAGCUCGAAGUUAGCAUCACAGAAACACAGUAAUGGCUGAACCUCCUAAAAGGCGAUAUUCAUCUGCAUCCUGAAGGACCGCUCCCGACAAGAAACCACGUUCAGCGGCGAAGAAAAGAAGCAACACGAGUAAAUCUGGAUGUGACUUUUCCGCCGCUGGAGAAGCUCCUGAGAGGAAAGAGAUGCGGUUUGAUGCCGAGCUCGCAACUUUCCUGUUAGCCUGGACCUGAGCCAGUACAGGUGUAAUACCGCCUCCACCUGUCUCACCAACGGCAGAGAGUCCAGACACAGUGAGGAGGGUCCAGGGACGGCAGAAUCCACCUCGGGCCAGAACUGCACCUUGUGGAACCCAGAAAGAAACGGUAAGUCAUGC